rnacentral:rRNA from 1 species
GACGAACGCUGGCGGCGUGCUUAACACAUGCAAGUCGAACGGAAAGGCCCUGCUUUUGUGGGGUGCUCGAGUGGCGAACGGGUGAGUAACACGUGAGUAACCUGCCCUUGACUUUGGGAUAACUUCAGGAAACUGGGGCUAAUACCGGAUAGGAGCUCCUGCUGCAUGGUGGGGGUUGGAAAGUUUCGGCGGUUGGGGAUGGACUCGCGGCUUAUCAGCUUGUUGGUGGGGUAGUGGCUUACCAAGGCUUUGACGGGUAGCCGGCCUGAGAGGGUGACCGGCGACAUUGGGACUGAGAUACGGCCCAGACUCCUACGGGAGGCAGCAGUGGGGAAUAUUGCACAAUGGGCGGAAGCCUGAUGCAGCAACGCCGCGUGCGGGAUGACGGCCUUCGGGUUGCGAACCGCUUUCGCCUGUGACGAAGCGUGAGUGACGGUAAUGGGUAAAGAAGCACCGGCUAACUACGUG